UACGGGGGGAGCAAGCGUUGUUCGGAUUUACUGGGCGUAAAGGGCGCGUAGGCGGUCAGCACAAGUCAGUUGUGAAAUCUCCGGGCUUAACUCGGAAAGGUCAACUGAUACUGUGCGACUAGAGUGCGGAAGGGGCAACUGGAAUUCUCGGUGUAGCGGUGAAAUGCGUAGAUAUCGAGAGGAACACCUGCGGCGAAGGCGGGUUGCUGGGCCGACACUGACGCUGAUGCGCGAAAGCCAG
rnacentral:rRNA from 1 species